UGUUUCUUCAACACAAGGGAAAGAACAGUAGAGCAAAGAGAACCAUCCAUAUGUAGUAAGUAUGAGCUUACAGGGCACAUGGAAUGUCCAAAUGCAAUGGAAGAGUCUGGCUGUGAAGAAUUAGGUAUGUUAUUUUACCCAACCCUGUGGGACCUCAUCUCAUGGGAAUAAAGUCUGUGCUGAAACCACUGAGCAAGGAAUAGACUGGGAUGAAAGGAAAGAUAGCCUGAGGUACCACAUUGGGUACUAAUGUAAAUCUGUUGGAGUCUUUGACAAACAAAGAAGCUGUCAACUUGUAGAGCUAGAAGGAAUCUUGGAAAUUAUGCYACAACACCUUUAAUUCAUCAAAGAAGGAACCGAGACAGUGCUGAGAGUGGAUGCCUCUGUUCCCACCUCAUGCAAGAGAUUGCUUUUUAGUCUUCCUGCCUAGCCAUCAUAUUGGAUUUCUGUGCAGAUGCUGCUGUUGUGAUUCUUCAACCAAGCAAUCAAACAAGUGCAUAUUGUGAAUGAUUUUGUUCUUCCACCGGCUCUCACCAUGAUGUGCUGCCCCACCAUAGGCCAAAAACUACAGAGCCAAUCAGUCAUGGACUGGAACUCCAAAACUGAAGAGGAAAUUUGGACACACAAAGAGAGACAUGAAGGUACAGAGAAGAAGACCRUCUAAGGAUGCAGUGAGAUGACAGCCAUCUACAAGCCAMGGAGAAAGACCUUGGGAAAACCUAACUCUGCCACCAUAUUGCUCUUAGACUUUCAGACUCUAGAACAAUGAAGAAAUAAAAUUCUGUUGUGUA